UCCCCAGUAGCUCAGUGGUAGAGCAAUCGGCUGUUAACGGAUUGGUCGUAGGUUCGAAUCCUACUUGGGGAU
rfam:Nicotiana sylvestris Nsyl_contig84067, whole genome shotgun sequence.